UCUUCAUUUCACACACUCUCUCGCCUCUCUGACCGGUGAGAGAGUGUGUGAAAUGAAGAGA
rfam:Pristionchus pacificus strain PS312 contig2316, whole genome shotgun sequence.